GACGAACGCUGGCGGCGUGCUUAACACAUGCAAGUCGAACGGAGUGGCGAACGGGUGAGUAACACGUGGGUGAUCUGCCUUGCACUUCGGGAUAAGCGUGGGAAACUGGGUCUAAUACCGGAUAGUGCAAGAUGAGCUCGCGGCCUAUCAGCUUGUUGGUGGGGUAAUGGCCUACCAGGGCGUCGACGGGUAGCCGGCCGGUGAGGGUGUACGGCCCCCUUGGGACUGAGAUACGGCCCAGAAUCGAACGGGAGGCAGCGGUGGAGAAUAUUGCACAAUGGGGGGAAGUCUGAUGCAGCGAUGUCGGGUGGGGAAUGAAGGGCUUCGGGUUGUAAACUCCGUUCGACAGGGACGCGGUACCUGUAUAAGAAGCACCGGCUAACUACGUGCCAGCAGCCGCGGUAAUUC
rnacentral:rRNA from 1 species